rnacentral:rRNA from 1 species
UUGAACGCUGGCGGCAUGCUUUACACAUGCAAGUCGAACGGUAGACCCUUUCGGGGGUUGAGAGUGGCGAACGGGUGAGUAAUGCAUCGGAACAUACCCAGUCGUGGGGGAUAACGUAGCGAAAGUUACGCUAAUACCGCAUGAGUCCUGAGGGAGAAAGCGGGGGAUCGCAAGACCUCGCGCGAUUGGAGUGGCCGAUGUCAGAUUAGCUAGUUGGUGGGGUAAAGGCCUACCAAGGCGACGAUCUGUAGCGGGUCUGAGAGGAUGAUCCGCCACACUGGGACUGAGACACGGCCCAGACUCCUACGGGAGGCAGCAGUGGGGAAUUUUGGACAAUGGGGGCAACCCUGAUCCAGCCAUUCCGCGUGAGUGAAGAAGGCCUUCGGGUUGUAAAGCUCUUUCAGCCGGAACGAAACGGUACGCUCUAACAUAGCGUGCUAAUGACGGUACCGGCAGAAGAAGCACCGGCUAACUACGU